GUGGGGAAUAUUGCACAAUGGGCGGAAGCCUGAUGCAGCAACGCCGCGUGCGGGAUGACGGCCUUCGGGUUGUAAACCGCUUUCAGCAGGGACGAAGCGUGAGUGACGGUACCUGCAGAAGAAGCACCGGCUAACUACGUGCCAGCAGCCGCGGUGAUACGUAGGGUGCGAGCGUUGUCCGGAUUUAUUGGGCGUAAAGAGCUUGUAGGCGGUUGGUUGCGUCGAAAGUGCAAACUCAGGGCUUAACUCUGAGCCUGCUUUCGAUACGGGCUGACUGGAGGAAGGUAGGGGAGAAUGGAAUUCCCGGUGGAGCGGUGGAAUGCGCAGAUAUCGGGAGGAACACCAGUGGCGAAGGCGGUUCUCUGGACCUUUCCUGACGCUGAGAAGCGAAAGCGUGGGGAGCAAACAGGCUUAGAUACCCCUGUAGUCC
rnacentral:rRNA from 1 species